GCCGGGCCUGCGCUGGAGUUCCGUGGCUCCCGGAGGGAGAGGAGGGAGGCCCUGGCCCUCGCCGGCUGCGCGUUAGGAGCUUCUCUUUACUGCAGCAUAACUGUGAGAUUUGGGUAUCUCUGUGUGCGUUCAGUGUACAACGAGCUGCAGCGACACUUUAAAGUGCUGGCGUGAGAAAGGAACUGGUUGAUAACCUCCCCCCGCCAGCUCGCCGGGCUGCCCCUCAUCUGACUUUUGAUCCAGACUCUUCACCAGAUCUGUUGCUCUUCUCUGACUUCAGCACCUCAGUGUAUUGUAAAUAGAGGCCCUGAACUGACCCCAGGAUUGGAGGUGUGGUCUCACCAAUGCCGGAGCAAUGGUUACUCCAUACCCACACACAUAAGACCCAUCACUUUCACUAUCACCACCUUCCUGUAAAAUCUCAAAGCCCUCCAUAUUUCAUGAAGUCUCAAAGCUAUUAAGUUCUUAUGUUCUUUCAAGUGUAUGUGGUGGGGCAGCAGACAGAGAACCUUGUGCAUCCACAGAGCUCUGGUCAUUACAGGCAUCCAGACAUCACUAGGCACUGGAGGAUACACACAGGAGAAACAGUAUGGAUGUCCCAAGUGUGGAAAAAACAUUUCAAUCUUUUUCCUGGACAAGAAAGAGGUAGAAGGACAAAACAGCCAAAAAAAAAACCCCAAAAUUGCAUAGUGGAAGCAUCAGAUUCCUUCAAUCCCUUCUUCCCAAAAGAAUGUAGGUGGGAGUGUGCUGCUGCUGCUGCAAGAAAACUUAGGUGACCUGCCUGUGGAGACUGCUUUUAGUGGAAGUUUUGAGAGUUGAUUUCUCAAGCAGUUCCCACUUUGUCCGGAAUAUUGUUUUUUGAGAAAUAUGUGUAACCUUUGUAGUCUAAAUGUUUGUGUUUUGGUUGGGUUUUUUUUAAUCAAACUCAGAAUAAAUUCUCUUUGAUGCCAGGGAUGAGCUGCUUAGCUGCCUGUUGUACAUAGUGAGCCAUCAAAAAGCUUUGCUUAAAGUCUGUUAUGUGACAGUCACUACACAAAGCAGAAGAGAAUGCUUGAUUUGGUUUUUAACCUUCUGGGAGAAGACCAUGUUUCUCUCAGCAUCCAGAUUUUAUCUGUGUGUCCUAAAAAUGUAGGCUGUUGGAUCACCCUGGCAAAGAGACUGCUCUGCACACACAUGAUUUGCCCCAGGGAGUUGUGGUAAUUGUUUUUUAACUCCCUAUGUGGAAAAAACCAGUUUUCUUCACCUGCUCAACUCCUUUGCCUAUAAAGAAGACUGUUUUUUCAAUGUUUUUCUCUGUAUUUUGACAGUAGCUUCUAUGAACUGGUCACUAGAGUGUAUCUUGUGUGGAAGUUGGCCAGAGACUUAAGUUAUUUUACUCAACAACUGGCAGUAAUACUCUGUGCAGAAAAGUUAGGUCUCAUUUGUGUCUUACUAUGCAUGAGAGGCUUCAGUUCAGCUCUUGCUCAGUGACUUGAAGAGGUCCCAAAUAACCACACACUUACUGCCCUACAAAAGAGAGUACAUAGCGGUUUUCAGCAUUCUGAGAGGAUUUGGACAACAACCAGAAAACAGAGAAAAAAGGCCUGCCUUUUGCAAUAAAGCAAGAAUUGGAGUGUUU